GACGAACGCUGGCGGCGUGCUUAACACAUGCAAGUCGAACGCUGAAGCUUGGUGCUUGCACUGGGUGGAUGAGUGGCGAACGGGUGAGUAAUACGUGAGUAACCUGCCCUUGACUCUGGGAUAAGCCUGGGAAACUGGGUCUAAUACUGGAUACGACAUGCCACUGCAUGGUGGUGUGUGGAAAGGGUUUUACUGGUUUUGGAUGGGCUCACGGCCUAUCAGCUUGUUGGUGGGGUAAUGGCCUACCAAGGCGACGACGGGUAGCCGGCCUGAGAGGGUGACGGGGCACACUGGGACAGGGACGCGGCCGGGAGGGCUGCGGGAGGCAGGAGCGGGGGAUGGUGGACGAUGGGCGGAGGGAUGAAGCAGGGACGCCGCGUGAGGGAGGGAGGCCUUCGGGUAGGAAACCACGUGCAGCACGAAAGAAGCGGGAGUGAGGGUACGGGAAGAAGAGGCGAGGGCUAAUUACGU
rnacentral:rRNA from 1 species